GUAAAAUUCCUACAGAAAAGUAUUGUAAAUCCAAAAACAUAUAUUUUUUGUUUAAAUCACAGUGAACUUUUGUAAACUAUUAAACAGAAUGUUUUGUUAUAUUUACAACAACGAUAUGCGAUUAUAAUCAAAUUUAUUUGUUAAAACUACAAAGAUUGGUAUAAAAAACAGAGAAAUACUGUAAUACUCAUAACAAAACAACUUUGUUCAUUUGACAUGUAAAUAUUGUCAAAACUAAAGUUUUAGUCAGUUGUUCUUAAAAAUACAACUAAAGUAAGUCACUAUACAAGUUUAUGCUGUACUUGUAACAUGAUUGAUGCAAAUUGAGGUAGUAAAAAUGUUUUUACAAAAAAAUCUAUUGUCAACCUGAGAGGUUGCCUGUCUGUAUUUAUAUAUAAAAAUAUAGGCUACAAUUAUAAUAACAUUGUUAUUAUAAUUCAGGCUAUUUGUAGCAUAUUGUAGAGUUUGUAUAAGAAAUUAAAUUUAUUGAUAUGCAAAGUAAUAGGUAAGGUUCAGUCCUAAUCCUUAUAUGCCUUAUGUUUAUUUUAGUCUUUAAAUUGUAAUGUAAUUCUUAACCUACUGGUUUUCUACAUAGGCCUAUUGAUAAAACAAAAGUAAUAAUUUGAGCAUUGUGUCAUUAUCACAGGCUAAACAAUUAAACAGUGCCUUCAGUAACCGCUUUGAUUUAUUUGUAGCCUACUCUGUUUAUAGAGUAUGUGUAUAAGGAAUUAAAAUUAUUGAGGCCUGUGCAAAGUAACACUUCUGUUCAGUCAUAACCAUAAUCCUUGUCUGCUUUAUGUUUCUUUAAAUGUUUAUGUUAUGCUUAGCCUACUGGUUUUCUAUGUAUAUUUAUAAAUUAUUUCAGCAUUGUUUUCAGCACUGUAUCAUUAUCACAGGCUAAACAACCAGUGCCUCCUCUAACCACAGACUUGUACUUGUCCUCUCUUAUUGUGCUCUGCCACUGAGUCUGCUAAUUUUGAAUUUCAUAGUUCGCAGAUAAGCUCGUCUCUGAUUGGAUAAUGACGUGAGGCGCGGGAGACGCUCACCUGCGGCUGACGUCAAUAACGAGCGAGUCAGAGCAGCGCUUGUUAGAAAGAAAACAGGCACAGCAGAAGUCUUCGGAACAGUGUCUCUACAAUUUUAAGAAGUUUUUAAGCGGGUCUGCUGCUGUUCAAUUGGAAAAUUAAAAGUUUGCACGGUACUGUGAAAUCACAAGAAGUGAGUUUGUGGCUGAUCCGAAUGUCUGUGGACCUUUACGCACCCCAGAAACGUAUGACGCAGCUGUUGCUGAUCUCCAGGCUGAAAACAUCCAAGGCGUCAGAGGGAUAAAGGUGCCAUUUUCUCUUUAGUGCAAAUAUGACUGACUCAGAGCGAACCUUCCUAGAUGUCGCCAUCAUGGAAGUCCUACCACAACUUCAAGCAGUAAACAAAAACAUCCUGGAAGAGCACUUGCAGUCCAUUGGAGUCGAGACAUAUGAUGAUCUACGCUUCGUAACGGAGGCUGAUUUGAUGACAGCAUUAAGACCUGUAGAAGCCAGAAAGCUUCUUUCUGCUUGGAAACGGAAAUACCACACUCCCGAGAAGAGUUCACUAUCAUCUGUGGAAGCCUCACCUACCCAAUUGCUGCCAACGCUCUCUGUUUCACCCCAAAGUUCAUCGUCAAGCUCCUCUAGCAGCCCAGGACUUGACACACAGUGGGACGUCAACUUUGAAAUUCCAUGGAG